UGCUUUUUGUAAAUAUAAAAAGUAAUACCUGCCCAAUGAGUUAUUUAAAUGGCCGCAGUAUUUUAACUGUGCAAAGGUAGCAUAAUCAUUUGUUUUAUAAAUUAAAACUUGUAUGAAUGGAAAAAUGUAAAUAUAACUGUCUUUUUUUUAUAGAUAAAAUUUGCUUUUUCAGUGAAGAAGCUGAAUUAUUUUAGAAAGACGAAAAGACCCUAUGAGUUUUUAAUAUUAAUAUAUUAAUAUAUAUUAAUAUUUUUAAUUGGGGUGAUUAAAGAAUAUAUCUUCUUUUCAAAAUAUAAAAUUAUAAUUUUUGAUCCAUUAAUAAUGAAUAAAAGUUUAAAUUACCAUAGGGGUAACAGCAUAAUUUUUUUUAAGAGUACAUAUUGACAAAAAAGAUUGUGACCUCGAUGUUGGUUUAAGAAAAUUUUAUAAUGAAGCAGUUAUAUAAAUAAGUUUGUUCAACUUUUAAAUUCUUACA
rnacentral:rRNA from 1 species